rnacentral:lncRNA from 1 species
CGAAGAUCGCGAAGACCAACACCUGGACGAACGUCAAGCGAUCCAUAUUGUUCCGUUGGGCGGGUGCGCGUUCAGUCCGAUCUCGACAUCGAGGUAAAAGUUGGAUCGUAACCAGCCGACCGACAUUAAUCGACUACCAGGGUCGACCGUUCACUAGCUUCGUGAAGGCGCUCGCCACAACACUGUGUCAACCUCCAAUCUCGUAAAACAGGCCCCACUCCUUCUCGCUGAGAAUCGUUUCUACACAUCUGACGUCACCAUGCAUUUUCAAAGAAUACAUAUACGAACAAUCCGACUAUGAAUAUCCAAUGAGUGUCUAAUCCGCGAGCACCUUUUGCGUAGACUUCCGUUCGGAGGAUCUCAGGUUUCCUGGGUUUUCCUGGUCAAUAAUCGAAUCGGAAAUUUGGUACAGAGAGGUAUCUUCGACGGGACCGUUAUUUUCGCGCGUUAUACAGUAAAAAUAUUCAAACAUCGUUCAAUGAUACGUAAUUCAAAUACUUUCAAAAAUUUAUAUACAGGUAUUCUAUAAGAUUGUUUGGAUGCCGUAAGGUUUAUACGGCAGUUCGAGAAAAAAAAAAAUCUUGCGCAAA